GUGCAGCAGGCGAGAAACCUCCGCAAUGCGGGAAACCGCGACGGGGGACCCCGAGUGCCGUGGCAACGCCACGGCUUUUCCGGAGUGUAAAAAGCUCCGGGAAUAAGGGCUGGGCAAGGCCGGUGGCAGCCGCCGCGGUAAUACCGGCGGCCCGAGUGGUGGCCGCUAUUAUUGGGCCUAAAAGCGUCCGUAGCCGGGCCCGUAAGUCCCUGGCGAAAUCCCACGGCUCAACCGUGGGGCUUGCUGGGGAUACUGCGGGUCUUGGGACCGGGAGAGGCGGGGGGUACCCCUGGGGGUAGGGGUGAAAUCCUAUAAUCCCAGGGGGACCGCCAGUGGCGAAGGCGCCCCGCUGGAACGGGUCCGACGGUGAGGGACGAAGGCCAGGGGAGCAAAACC
rnacentral:rRNA from 1 species